GAUAUGGCUCAGGAUGAACGCUAGCUACAGGCUUAACACAUGCAAGUCGAGGGGCAGCGGGAAGUCAGCUUGCUGACUUUGCCGGCGACCGGCGCACGGGUGAGUAACACGUAUCCAACCUUCCCGUUACUCUGGAAUAGCCUUUCGAAAGAAAGAUUAAUACCGGAUAGUAUCGAGAGAUUGCAUGAUUACCCGAUUAAAGAUUCAUCGGUAACGGAUGGGGAUGCGUUCCAUUAGGCAG
rnacentral:rRNA from 1 species